rnacentral:rRNA from 1 species
CCUACGGGAGGCAGCAGUGAGGAAUAUUGGUCAAUGGGCUUACGCCUGAACCAGCCAAGUCGCGGGAGGGAAGACUGCCCUAUGGGUGGUAAACCUCUUUUGUCAGGGAGCAACGCCGGCUACGCGUAGCCGGACGGAGAGUACCUGAAGAAAAAGCAUCGGCUAACUCCUUGCCAGCAGCCGCGGUAAUACGGGGGAUGCGAGCGUUAUCCGGAUUUAUUGGGUUUAAAGGGUGCGUAGGCGGAAUGCCAAGUCAGCGGUAAAAUCGCGGGGCUCAACCUCGCUCCGCCGUUGAAACUGGCGUUCUUGAGUGGGCGAGAAGUAUGCGGAAUGCGUGGUGUAGCGGUGAAAUGCAUAGAUAUCACGCAGAACUCCGAUUGCGAAGGCAGCAUACCGGCGCCCAACUGACGCUGAAGCACGAAAGCGUGGGUAUCGAACAGGAUUAGAUACCCCAGUAGUC